UAGGAUUUUCUUAGGCUUUCUUUCUUGUAAUUGAGUCUGUUUUAGAUUCUUCUUAGUUACAUACUGUCCAGUCUUAAUUGUUUAGGUUGUAUAUAGUCUAGGUAAUUCUGUUUAGGCAUUUGUAGGUGCUUUUAGGUUCUGUUUCAAUUUUUUUUCAUUCCAUGCUGAUUUCACUCAUUUCUUAGCUUUAUUUCCUUAUAUUAGAAUUGUCAAGAGUAGACUUAGCUUUAGAUUUAGGCAGAGGUAUUUCUAGCAUUGAUUUUUGCAGUCUCUAGUUCAUUUUGAUUCAGUAAUUUUUGCAUAGGAUGAGUAGCAAGUCAGUUUUAACAAUUCUUAAACCCUUGAGAGAUUUUGGGCCAAUUUUGUCUUUCUUGUGUGAUACAUGCAUGUUUAAUUGUCAUUCUAAUUUUGCAUUGAUUCUUUAUUGAUGUGCUUGCUCUUGGUAACUUUAAAUAUGAUCUAGGCAUCCUUCAUUUUCAGCCAUAGCCAAUUUAAC
rnacentral:lncRNA from 1 species